rnacentral:pre_miRNA from 1 species
UAAAUACUCCCUUCGUCCCAAAAUUCUUGUCUAAGAUUUGUCUAAAUACGGAUGUAUCUAUGUAUCUAGAAAAAUCUAAGACAAGAAUUUUGGGACGGAGGGAGUACAUG